UUCAGUGCCAUAACCUCAGGCUGUGAUCUCAUCAGAUCUCAAAAACUGAACAGGGUCAGAUCAGGUCAGUAAUCAGAUGGGAAACUUCCAAGGAAACUCAGAGGAUUGCAGGAA
rnacentral:rRNA from 1 species